rnacentral:ncRNA from 1 species
AGAGGGAACCCGGUGUGAAUCCGGGACUGUCCCGCAGCGGUAUCCGGGAACGACCGCCGUCAUCGGCACUGGGAACAGCGAAGCCCGCUGAUCCCGGGAAGCGACGGCCAGUAGAUGCACCGAAAGCGGUGCGCGCCCGGGAGUCCGAAGACCU